rnacentral:tRNA from 1 species
CGGCCGGGGGUGCGUGUAGCGGAUGCCGUCGGUGUUCAUGACGACGAUGAAGUCGACGUUCGACUCCUCGCGGGCCGCC